UGACCUCGGAUUAGGUAGGAAUAUCCGUUGAAUUUAAAUAUAUUAAUAAACGGAGGAAAAGAAAUUAAUAGGGAUUGCCCUAGUAAUAGCGAGUAAAGUAGUAAUAGUUCAAAUUUAAAAUUUGGCUUCGGCCUAAAUUAUAAUUUAUAAAGGAAGUUUUUAGUAAGGUACUUUCUAAAUCCCUUAAAAUAGGGUACUAUAGAGGGUGAGAGCUUUAUAUAGUCGGAUGCCGAUUUAAUAUAAAGUUCCUUUAACGAAUUGAAUAGUUUAGGAAUAUUGUUUAAAAUAGGAGGUAAAUUUCUUCUAAAGUUAAAUAUUGGUUAAAGAUUAAUAGUAUAUAAGUAGAGUAAUUGAAAGAUGAAAAGCACUUUGAAAAGAGGGUUAAAUAGUAUAUAAAAUUAUUAAAAGGGAAGUGUUUGUAAUUAGAUUUGUAUUAUUCUAAUUAUUUAGUAUUUUUAUUAAUAUAUUUAGGACGGUUUAGGCUAAUAUUGGUUUUAGCGGGGGGAUAAAGGUCUAAGGAAUGUAGUUCCUCCGGGAGUAUUAUAGCCCCGGGCGUAAUACUUUUAUUAAGAUUGAAGUUCGUAUAUUUAUAAGGAUAUUAAUAUAAUAAUUAUUAACGAUCUAUUUUGAAAUACAGAUUAAGGAAUUAAGGUUUUAUGCGAGUAUUUGGGUGUAAAAUCUAUAUGUGUAAUGAAAGUGAAUGUAGGUAAGAGCUUCGGUGUAUUAUUAACCGAUUUUAAUAUAUUUGGAUAGAUUUAAAUAAGAGUGUUAAACUUUGGACCCGAAAGAUGGUGAAUUAUAUUUAAAUAGGGUGAAGCUAGAGGAAAUUUUGGUAGAGGUUUAUAGCGGUUUUAAUAUGUAAAUCGAUUGUUAAAUUUAAAUAUAGGGGCGAAAGAUUAAUUAAACUAUUUAAUAGUUAAUUACUACUAAAGUUUCCUUUAGGAUAGUAGUAUUAUUCUUUAAUUUUAUAAAGUAAAGCGAAUAAUUAAGGAUUUGGGGGUGUUUUUUAGCCUUUAUCUAUUCUUAAAUUUUAAAUAUAUAAGAAGCCUUUAUUAUUUAAUUGAAUAUAAAUAUUCGAAUAUACUAAUAUUAGUAGGCUAUUUUUAGUAAAUAGAAUUAGCGAUAUAGGAUAAACCGAACGUAGGGUUAAGGUGCUAGAGUAGAUGUUUAUUAGAUAUUAUAAAAAGCGUUAAUAUAUUUUAAUAGUAGGACGGUAGUUAUAGAAGUUGGAAUUUGCUAAGGAUUAUAUAAUAAUUUAUUUGCCGAAUGUAUUAGCUUUGAAAAUAGAUAGUAUUUAAAUAUUCUAUUUAUACCUUGCCUUUAGGGUAGAAAUAAUGUUUUAAAGAGUAGGCGGUUAUAGAGGUUAGUAACGAAGUUUAGGGUGUAAAUUUAGGUUAAACGGCCUUUAGUAUAGAUUUUAAUAGUAGUAGUAAAUAUUUUAAUAAGAAUUUGAAGGACCGAAGUAGGGAAAGGUUCUAUAUAAAUAGCGGUUGGAUAUAGGUUAAUUAAUUUUAAGCUAUAGGGAAGUUCUGUUUUAAAGGAGUAUUUGUAUUCCGUAUAGUAAAAGGGAAGUUGGUUAAUAUUUUAGUAUUUAGAUAUAGGUUUUGUAUAGUAAUAUAAUUAAAUAUGGAGACAAUAGUAGGGGCUCCGGGUAGAAUUCUCUUUUCUUUUUAAUAGUUUAUUAUUUUAAAAAUAAUUUAUUUAGAAAUAGGGUUUAAUAGUUAGAAGAGUCCGAUAUUUCUAUUAAGUCCGGUAUAUUUUUAAUAUUCCUUAAAAAUUUAUAGGAGGGAAUAAUUUUUAUACUAGGUCGUACUUAUAAUUGUAGUAAGUCUCUAAAGUGAAUAGCCUUUAAUUAAUAGAAUAAUAUAGAUAAAGGAAGUUAGUAAAAUAAAUUUAUAAUUUUAGGAAAAGGAUUAAUUCUAAGGAUUAGGUAUAUUGGGCUUUAGGUAAAUACCCUAGGAGUAGAUCACUACUAGCCGGGUAAUUAGCUAGCGGCUUUUAAUAUCCGGAUAUAGAAGCCUUUAAUAAAUUUUAAUUGUCCGGCGUAUAUUUAAUAACUAAUUUAGAAUUGGUACAAAUAGGGGGAAUCUAAUUAUUUAAUUAAAAUAUAGUAUUAUAAUAGUUAGAAAGUAGUAUUAAUAUAAUAUGAUUUUUAUUUAGUAUUUUGAAUAUUAAAGUAAAGAAAUUUAAUUAAGCGUAGGUAAACGGCGGGAGUAAUUAUAAUUCUUUUAAAGUAGUUAAAUACUUUAUUAUUUAAUUAGUAAUAUAUAUAAAUAGAUUAAUGAAAUUCCUAUUGUCCCUAUCUACUAUUUAGCGAAACUAUAGCUAAGGGAAUAGACUUAGUAAAAUUAACGGGGAAAAAAGACCCUAUUGAAUUUAAUUUUAAUUUAAUAUUAUAAAAAGAUAUAGGAGGUGUAGAAUAGGUAGGAGCUUCGGCGCUAGUAAAAUACUAUUAUUCCUAUUAUUUUUUUACUUAUUUAAUUAAGCGGGGCUAAAUUUUCGUCUAACUUCUAAUUUUAAAGUCCUUUGUAGGCCGACCCGGAUUAAAGAUAUUAUUAAGUAGGGAGUUUGGCUGGGGUAGUAUAUUUAUUAAACUAUAAUAUAGGUGUUUUAAAGGGGGCUUAUAGAGAAUAGAAAUUUCUAGUAGAAUAAAAGGGUAAAAGUCCCCUUAAUUUUGAUUUUUAGUAUAAAUACAAAUUAUAAAAGUAUAGCCUAUUAAUCCUUUAGUCCCUCGAAAUUUGAAGCUAAAAGUACUAGAAAAGUUAUUAUAGGGAUAAUUAAUUUAUAGUAACUAAAUAUUUAUAGUAACAUUGCUUUUUAAUCCUUCGAUAUCGGUUCUUCCUAUUAUAUUAAAAUAGAAUUCAGUAAACGUUAGAUUAUUUACUUACUAAUAAGGAAUAUAAGCUAGGUUUAGACUAUUAUAAAAUAAAUUAGUUUUAUCCUAUUAAUAACUUUAUUAUAAUAGUAAUUAAAUUUAGUAUAAGAGGAAUUACUUAUUUAAAUAAUUGGUUUUUAUAGUUAUCCGACUGGGUAGUACUAUAAUACUACUAUCUAUUAGAUAAUAGUUGAAUGCUUUUAAAUUAGAAUUUAUAUUAGAAUACAAUAAUACUUUUAAUAUAUUAUAAACGUAUAAAAAUAGGCUCCGGCCUUGUAUUUUAAUAAACGAUUCCUCUAUUAGCUUUAAAGUAGCUAGUAGUAAUUUAUGUAUUGUAAUUUUAAUACGCACUGGAUUAAAUCCUUUAUAAAUAAUUUAAAUAUAUAAAAGGGUCCUAUAAGUAGUAAAGUAGCUUUAUUAUUACAAUCUACUAAAGGUAAACCUUCCUUUAUUUAAAUUUCU
rfam:Neurospora crassa OR74A unplaced genomic scaffold supercont12.8, whole genome shotgun sequence.